GUGUCAGCCGCCGCGGUAAGACGGAGGAUGCAAGUGUUAUCCGGAAUCACUGGGCGUAAAGCGUCUGUAGGUGGUUCGAAAAGUCCACUGUUAAAAAUUGAGGCUUAACUUCAAAGAUGCCGUGGAAACUUUCAAACUAGAGUAUGGUAGGGGUAGAGGGAAUUUCCAGUGGAGCGGUGAAAUGCGUAGAUAUUGGAAAGACCACCGAUGGCGAAGGCACUCUACUGGGCCAUUACUGACACUGAGAGACGAAAGCUAGGGGAGCAAAUGGGAUUAGAAACCCCCGUAGUCC
rnacentral:rRNA from 1 species